rnacentral:rRNA from 1 species
CAGCAGCCGCGGGAAAACAGAGGGUGCAAGCGUUAAUCGGAUUUACUGGGCGUAAAGGGCGCGUAGGUGGUUAUUUAAGUGAGAUGUGAAAUCCCCGGGCUUAACCUGGGAACUGCAUCUUAUACUGGGUAACUGGAGUGCGGUAGAGGGUAGUGGAAUUUCCGGUGUAGCGGUGAAAUGCGUAGAUAUCGGAAGGAACACCAGUGGCGAAGGCGGCUACCUGGACUGAGACUGACACUGAGGCGCGAGAGCGUGGGGAGCAAACAGGAUUAGAUACCCCAGUAGUCCCUGUCUCUUAUAC